CCUUUGUCCACGUGCUUUGUCAUUGUGUGGACGAUUUUCCGGUAAGAAAGUGAAGCGGGUUAAGCUGCCCAUGCAUUGGCCAACAAGACAGCCGUUCCGAAGGCUGUGCUCUCAUUUCCAGGAUUCGCCAUACAGCCAAAUGAAUAACACCGAAGCCACGCGACAGGUAUAUAGGUGAGAAUAGGGGAGUAUUGUAGAUGAUGUGGACUUCCAAUAGCCAACCGUCGGACGUUUCGAUUUCCACCUUCGCCAGGACGGGAUGAGAAUAAAGCUGUGGUUAUCUACAAAUUACGUGACGAAGAAGACUUUCGAUCUUUCUAUGACGCUGUAG